rnacentral:rRNA from 1 species
UACGUAGGGAGCGAGCGUUAUCCGGAAUUAUUGGGCGUAAAGGGUGCGUAGAUGGUUGAUAUAAGUCUUUUGUAAAAAUGCUAGGCUCAACCUAGUAGGGCAAAAGAUACUGAUGAGCUAGAGUACGGCAGAGGCAAGUGGAACUACAUGUGUAGCGGUAAAAUGCGUAAAUAUAUGUAAGAACACCGGUGGCGAAGGCGGCUUGCUGGGCCUGUACUGACAUUGAGGCACGAAAGCGUGGGGAGCAAACAGG